rnacentral:rRNA from 1 species
ACGUAGGCAGCGAGCGUUGUUCGGAGUUACUGGGCGUAAAGGGUAUGUAGGCGGUUGUUUAAGUUUGGUGUGAAAUCUCCCGGCUCAACUGGGAGGGUGCGCCGAAUACUGAAUGACUUCGAGUGCGGGAGAGGAAAGUGGAAUUCCUGGUGUAGCGGUGAAAUGCGUAGAUAUCAAGAGGAACACCUGAGGUGAAGACGGGUUGCUGGGCCGACACUGACGCUGAGUGCGCGAAAGCCAGGGGAGCAAACGGGA